rnacentral:rRNA from 1 species
UUGGAUGGACUCGCGGCCUAUCAGCUUGUUGGUGAGGUAAUGGCUCACCAAGGCGACGACGGGUAGCCGGCCUGAGAGGGUGACCGGCCACACUGGGACUGAGACACGGCCCAGACUCCUACGGGAGGCAGCAGUGGGGAAUAUUGCACAAUGGGCGCAAGCCUGAUGCAGCGACGCCGCGUGAGGGAUGACGGCCUUCGGGUUGUAAACCUCUUUC